rnacentral:lncRNA from 1 species
AGAGAUGGGGUUUCAUCAUGUUGGCUAGGCUGGCCUCGAACUUCUGAUCUCGAGGCCUACCUUGGCCUCCCAAAGUGCUGGGAUUACAGGCAUGAGCCACUGCGCCUGGCCUGUGAUUUUUGUCUUUCUAAAAGAAUGGCUGUGGAUCAUUCUAAGAUAGUCCCCAGGAGUCCCACCCCCCUGAUGUGCAAUACUCAUUAUAAUCUCCUCUCCUUGAGCGUGGGCAAGACCAUGAACCAGAUGGGAUUUCACUCCUGUGAUUAGGUCAUAUUAUAAGGCAUAGAUGAAGGGAUUUUACAGGUAUGACUAAUAUCCCAAAUCAAUAAAAGGGGAGGCCAUCUUGGAUGGGCCUGAAUUAAAGAGGUAAAAUCCCUUAAAAGAGAAACGGCCCUUCCUGAGGUCAGAAAGACUCUCACUAGCCUUAAAGAAGCAAACUGCAGGCUGGGCGCAGUGGCUCACGACUGUAAUCCCAGCACUUCGGGAGGCCAAGGCGGGAGGAUCACCCGAGGUCAGGAGAUCGAGACCAUCCUGGCCAACAUGGUGAAACCCCAUCUCUACUAAAAACACAAAAAUUAGCUGGGCAUGGUGGUGCGUGCCUGUAAUCUCAGUUAUUUGGGAGGCUGAGGCAGGAGAAUCCCUUCAACUCACUCGGGAGGCGGAAGUUGCAGUGAGCCAAGAUCAUGCCACUGUUCUCCAGCCUGGUGACAGAGCUAGACUCCGUCUCAAAAAAAAAAAAAAAAAAAAAAGCAAACUGCCAUGCUGUGAAAUGCCUAUGGACAGGGACUCCUGGUGGUGACUGCCAAGUGGCCUCUGGGACCUGAGGACAGCCUCCAGUGGACAGCCGGGAAGAUGCCAAGGCCCUCCGUACACAGCCGAGGCUAAGUCCCCAGGCAUAAAGGGAAGCACUGGACCAGAUAGAUUCACCGACAUGAGGCACCUGUGCAGCCUUGUGGGCAGCAGCAGCCAAGCAGCCAGUCCUGGCAGGGUCCUGGCCUUGCCCCACACGUUCCAUUCAAAGUUUUGGCAGUGGGGACCGACACCUGCACAACCAAGAUCACUUCCCUGUGGCUUUCGCAAAGCUAGUGUGGCUGCCUUGAGGCUAAAAGGAGGAAAAUAAAGUUUUCUCAUCAGGAAAAAAAACGGAGUUUUGAAAUCAAAUGAAAUGAUGUGCAUGAAAGUACAGAACAUACGGAAGGUGCUUAAUGAGAUAUUAGUUUCCCUUCUCCUAUGUCAACCACAGGUAGAAUCUCCUUAACUAUGUUGGAAGCUCUAUAAAGGCAAGGACUGUGCCUAUGGUAUGUGCCCAUUAUAUCACCAAUGCUUAGUAUAAUGGCUGACCCGUAGUCAGUAUUCAGUAAAUAUUGGUUAAAUACUUAAUGGUCGUAAUGGUUAAUAUUGAGUGUCAACUUGACUGCAUUGAAGGAUGCGAAGUAUUGUUCCUGGAUGUGUCUGUGAGGGUGUAGCCAAAGGAGAUUAACAUUUGAGUCAGUGAGUUGGGAAAGGCAGACCUGCCCUCAAUCUGAGUGGGCACCAUCUAAUCAGCAGCGAUGGAGGCCAGAAUAAAAGCAGGCAGAAGAACCUGGAAAGAUUAGACUGACUGAGUCUUCUGGACUCCAUCUUUCUCCAUGCUGGAUGCUUCCUGCCUUGGAACAUCGGAUUCCAGUGUUCUUCAGCUUUGGGACUCGGACUGGCUUCCUUACUCCUCAGCUUGCAGAUGGCCUAUUGUAGGACCCCACCUUGUGAUUACGUGAGUCAAUACUCCUUAAUAAACUUCCCUUUAUAAAGACUCAGCCUAGAGUUACUUUUGCAUAGUUUUCAAAAUCCCUUCUUCAAGACAGUCAAUGUUAUUUAUGAUUCUUUGAUAUCCAUAGCCCUUCUACAAAGCGUACUAUGCCUUCUUUAAUAAAGUGGAAUUCUAUGCCCUGUAAUUACUCUGUCUCUUUAUCUGUUGUCAUAUUUCCCAAUCUCUCAGACUCAUUUCUUGCUCAUCCGCUCUUUUUACUCUAUACUCAUUUCCCUUGAGGGUUUGCGAGAUUUAAUAAGCUGUUAUAGUGCCAGAUAUUAUGCUAGCAACAACAAUCCACAGAUAAAAAAGACAGAG